rnacentral:lncRNA from 1 species
GGUUAUGCAUGUUUUAAAUUAUGACGUAGGCAACGUGCGGACAUGUGUGGAAAGUUGCCGUCAUGAUGAUUAGGCAUGUGCACCCUUACGAAAUUGUAUGUAGACAGUCU